rnacentral:tRNA from 1 species
AAGGAUUUAAGUUAAAUUAAACUUGCAGCCUUCAAAGCUUCGAAUAAAGAAAAUUAUAUCUUUAAGCCUUA